rnacentral:rRNA from 1 species
GGUGAACGCUGGCGGCGUGCUUAAGACAUGCAAGUCGAACGCAGUCUUCGGACUGAGUGGCGCACGGGUGAGUAACACGUAACUGACCUACCCCCAAGUCGCGGAUAACUGGCCGAAAGGUCAGCUAAUACGUGAUGUGAUGUCCCCUCUCUGGGGGCCAUUAAAGGUUUACUGUUUGGGGAUGGGGUUGCGUUCCAUCAGCUAGUUGGCGGGGUAAAGGCCCACCAAGGCAACGACGGAUAGCCGGCCUGAGAGGGUGGCCGGCCACAGGGGGACGGAGACACGGGUCCCACUACUACGGGAGGCAGCAGUUAGGAAUCUUCCACAAUGGGCGAAAGCCUGAUGGAGCGACGCCGCGUGAGGGAUGAAGGUUCUCGGAUCGUAAACCUCUGAAUCAGGGACGAAAGACGCGUAAGCGGGAUGACGGUACCUGAGUAAUAGCACCGGCUAACUCCGUGCCAGCCGCCGCAGUAAAAC